ACUUUUGCUGUUUCGCCUUCUUGGAGACCUUGAAUGGAGUCCUGUGUGGGGCUCCAGUGGGGAACUCUAUAGUUCUGCUGGGGGACUUCAACGCACACAUGGGCAAU